UUGAACUGACGGGCUUUUGUU
rnacentral:piRNA from 1 species